AGAAGAUCCUGCAGGUAGCCCAAGACCUGUCGGGGGAAGACAUGCACCAGUUCCAUUGAGCCGUCACCACAGGACUGCAGGAAUAUGUGGAGGCUGUCUCUUUUCAACACUUCAUCAAAACUCGUUCAUUGAUCAGUAUGGAAGAGAUUAACAAGCAGUUGGCAUUUACAGCAGAAGACAGUGGGAAAGAGAGCAAGACUGCUCUAGGCAUGAACCUGGUUCACAGACAUACAUGAACGCACAAUAUGCAUACACAUAAAAUAAUAAGGAAAUCCACUGCAGCCUGACUAAGAUGACUGCCUCCCGUGGACGGACAAGAGAAGCAGCUGGUUACAUGGAGACUGAAGCUCACCCCUGUUGACUACCUGCUGGGCGUGGCCGACCUAACUGGAGAGUUGAUGCGGAUGUGUAUUAACAGUGUGGGGAACGGGGACAUCGACACCCCCUUUGAAGUGAGCCAGUUUUUACGCCAGGGCCAGGUUUAUGAUCGUUCAUUGGCAACACUGGGGCCUAUGAGGUCUCUAAGAAGCUAUACACCUUGAAACAGAGCCUGGCCAAAGUGGAGAAUGCUUGCUAUGCCCUUAAAGUCCGGGGUUCCGAGAUUCCUAAGCACAUGCUGGCAGACGUGUUUUCAGUUAAAACAGACAUGAUUGAUCAGGAAGAGAGCAUUUCUUAAGCAGCCCCACUCUGCUAAGGAGCUCCUGGGCAACCAGUUGACACCAAGCCACUCCCUCCUCAGCAUGCCUGUUUGAGAACUGAGCUUCUGAGCUCUUCAUGGUUUCACAAAACUAGUUAACGCAGAAGCAGAAAUGGUCUCCCAGGAAUUGUUUUUAACACUGAAGCUUUC
rnacentral:lncRNA from 1 species